GAUGAACGCUGGCGGCGUGCCUAAUACAUGCAAGUAGAACGCUGAAGGAGGAGCUUGCUCUUCUGGAUGAGUUGCGAACGGGUGAGUAACGCGUAGGUAACCUGCCUGGUAGCGGGGGAUAACUAUUGGAAACGAUAGCUAAUACCGCAUGACAACAGUUAUUGCAUGAUAACUGUUUAAAAGGGGCAACUGCUCCACUACCAGAUGGACCUGCGUUGUAUUAGCUAGUUGGUGAGGUAACGGCUCACCAAGGCGACGAUACAUAGCCGACCUGAGAGGGUGAUCGGCCACACUGGGACUGAGACACGGCCCAGACUCCUACGGGAGGCAGCAGUAGGGAAUCUUCGGCAAUGGACGGAAGUCUGACCGAGCAGCGCCGCGUGAGUGAAGAAGGUUUUCGGAUCGUAAAGCUCUGUUGUAAGAGAAGAACGAGUGUGAGAGUGGAAAGUUCACACUGUGACGGUAUCUUACCAGAAAGGGACGGCUAACUACGUG
rnacentral:rRNA from 1 species